rnacentral:tRNA from 1 species
GCCCAGCUGGCUCAGUCCGUAAAGCUCGAGACUCUUGAUCUCAGGGUCAUGAGUUCGAGCCCCAUGUUGGGUA